rnacentral:pre_miRNA from 1 species
CAUCUUACCGGACAGUGCUGGAUUUCCCGGCUAGACUCUAACACUGUCUGGUAACGAUGUU